GACGAACCGUGCAAACGUUAUUCGGAUUCACUGGGCUUAAAGGGCGCGUAGGCGGGCGGUCAAGUCAGGUGUGAAAUCCUCCAGCUUAACUGGAGCAGUGCCUUUGAUACUGGCCGUCUUGAGGGAGGUAGGGGCAUGUGGAACUUCCGGUGGAGCGGUGAAAUGCGUAGAUAUCGGAAGGAACGCCGGUGGCGAAAGCGACGUGCUGGAUCUCUUCUGACGCUGAGGCGCGAAAGCCAGGGUAGCGAACGGG
rnacentral:rRNA from 1 species